rnacentral:snRNA from 1 species
AUACUUACUUGGUGCCGGGGCCUUGUUCAUCACCGAGGACGAGCCCCCAGGGUGAGGCGCGGGCAUUGCACUGCGCUUGCGUUAACCCCUGCCCCUACCCCAAACUGGGGCAGAUGGGGCAUGCAAAUUGCUUAAAUCUGGUUCAACUCAAGAGACGGCGCCACC